rnacentral:tRNA from 1 species
AAUAGGGUAAGCUAAAUUAAGCUAUUGGGCUCAUAACUCAAAAAUAGACAUAAUUCUUCCUAUUA